GUAAAAACAAUCGAAAUCGACCAUCAUCAAUGAAAUUUCGGAACUGAAGCACACCCAGCUAGUGGUCGUUGGCCACAUUUCCGGAUGACGGUACGAGAACAUUGAAAAUCCUCCCAGUGAAUACAUUGCAGAUGAUAAUCUCAAGCUCAAUCUUGCGUUGAUUGCAAGGAGUCGGACUGGGCUCUGUCACUUCCAGAAACCUCGUCAGUCUUGGAUACCAGCGGAUAGACGGAAAAGGAGUUGGUCAUUGAUGAGGAUCAGUUACCGGAUUCGAAUUGCAGCACUGCUACUAAACAAAUCUCCGACACCGCCUAGCCAGUGCUGAAAAUCAAGGUUCUAUUAGAAGCAAGAUUGAAGACAUUGAAUGAACAAUCACUAUAGGACGGCAGCUUCAUAUAUUCGACCGCAUGUCCUGAAAAUAUUAACGGUAUAACGAAGAGUUUCAACAAGACAGACUGGAGGACAACUGGAGGAGAUCCCAAGCGUGCAACUGACUUCUGGGAGAACAACGUCUCGACGGAAGUAAGUCGUACGUGUCCAAUCAUGCCUGGUGAAUUUCCAAUCACAACCUUGUGCAUUCUGUACGGGAGUUCAGGUUUGAACGAGAUACUAUUCUCCAUUUGCUGCUGCCAACCAUGCCGUCAGUAUUGUGUGCGUACAUACAGCAUUUGGAGGAUAAACCAACAGGACCAACUUGGGCCUAAUGAAAUUGACCUGCUUCGCGAUGAACUACACCGCGUUCUCCUCAAACAAAGGCGUUCAAUCGAUUCAAUUGAAUGUGUUCGUGGUGAACCGUGUGCUAAAUACGUGCAACGUGGCUACAGGUAAAAAGGAAAGUGGGCACAAUUCUGCUGUAUAUAUGCUGUAUAGUAUGGAGUAUGCCGGAGGAAAACGCCAAAUUAGGGAAGAAAACUACCGGAUUCAGAUGUAAUUGUGGGCAAUAUUCAGUAUACAAUAACAAUAUGCUGAUACCCGAUCAUGUCCAUACCAUGAAUAUGUCCAAAACGACAACGUAAUAGCAAACUUGGCCUUACUUGCCAUUGAACUUUGUUAGCGCCUUGGAUAAAAGCGCUAUGAACGAAAUCGUAUUACUCAUAUAUCAAAAGCACCGGCAGCAGUUACAACAAUUUCUAUUGCUAGAAAA